UACAGAGGGUGCGAGCGUUGUCCGGAAUCACUGGGCGCAAAGGGCGCGUAGGUGGCCCGACAAGUCACUGGUGAAAGCUCGACGCUCAACGUCGAGUCGGCCAGUGAUACUGUUGGGCUGGAGCACUGUAGAGGCUCAUGGAAUUCCGGGUGUAGCGGUGGAAUGCGUAGAGAUCCGGAAGAACACCGGUGGCGAAGGCGGUGAGCUGGGCAGUAGCUGACACUGAGGCGCGACAGCGUGGGGAGCAAACAGG
rnacentral:rRNA from 1 species